rnacentral:rRNA from 1 species
UGGGGAAUAUUAGAAAUGGACGAAAGUCUGAUCUAGCAACACCGCGUGUGCGAAGAAGGCCUUCGGGUUGUAAAGCACUUUUUGGAAGGAUUAGGAAGGAAUGUACUUCCAGAGUAAGUCUCGGCCAACUACGUGCCAGCAGCCGCGGUAACACGUAGGAGGCAAACGUUAUCCGGAUUUACUGGGCGUAAAGCGCGUGUAGGUGGUUCUGUAAGUAGGGCGUGAAAGCUCCUGGCUCAACUGGGAGAGGCCGUUCUAAACUGCAGAGCUAGAGGAUGGUAGAGGGAGGUGGAAUUCCGGGUGUAGCGGUGGAAUGCGCAGAUAUCCGGAGGAACACCAGUGGCGAAAGCGGCCUCCUGGACCAUUCCUGACACUCAGACGCGAAAGCUAGGGUAGCAAACG